rnacentral:misc_RNA from 1 species
AAGGAAGUACAUGUAUUUAUUAUUAAAAACCACGAGUGAAGGAGACGGAAACAAAGCUUAUAUAAUCAUGAAUUUGUGAAUUACCAAACUGAAGAUUGCAAGGAACAUUCCCUCUCACAUUACUCAUUACAUCACAGGUUUUGCCAGAACCUUCUGUCGACAAUUGUUAUACUGUAAUCAAUAGUAUGUACAUGUGAUUUGACUGUACGUGGGUUAUUUUGGUGGAUUUUUGUUAUUGCUGCUGCUGUUGUUUUUGGGUUAUUUUUAUGGUUAAAUUGUUGCUUUGAAAAAUUUACCGAUAUUAAAACAUGUUUAAUGCAAAAAGUU